CCUACGGGUGGCAGCAGUGAGGAAUAUUGGUCAAUGGGCGAGAGCCUGAACCAGCCAAGUCGCGUGAGGGCAGACGGUCCUAUGGAUUGUCAACCUCUUUUGCCGGGGAGCAAAAAGCGGUACGUGUACCGCAUCGAGAGUACCCGGAGAAAAAGCAUCGGCUAACUCCGUGCCAGCAGCCGCGGUAAUACGGAUGAUGCGAGCGUUAUCCGGAUUUAUUGGGUUAAAAGGGUGCGCAGGCGGCGAGUUACUUCAGCGGUAAAAUUUCGGGGCUCAACCCCGACGAGCCGUUGAGACUGGCUUGCUAGAGUGGGCGAGAAGUAUGCGGAAUGUAUGGUGUAGCGGUGAAAUGCUUAGAGAUCAUACAGAACACCGAUUGCGAAGGCAGCUUACCAAGCUACUUCUGACGUUGAGGCACGAAAGCGUGGGGAGCAAACAGGAUUAGAUACCCUAGUAGUC
rnacentral:rRNA from 1 species